GCCAGCAGCCGCGGUAAUACGGAGGGUGCGAGCGUUAAUCGGAAUUACAGGGCGUAAAGCGCGCGUAGGCGGUUUUGUAAGUCGGAUGUGAAAGCCCAGGGCUUAACCUUGGAACUGCAUUCGAUACUGCUUGACUAGAGUAUGGUAGAGGGAAGUGGAAUUUCCGGUGUAGCGGUGAAAUGCGUAGAUAUCGGAAGGAACACCAGUGGCGAAGGCGACUUCCUGGGCCAAUACUGACGCUGAGGUGCGAAAGCGUGGGGAGCAGACAGGAUUAGAUACCCUGGUAGUCCACGCCGUAAACGAUGAGAACUAGAUGUCGGGAGGGUUGCCUUUCGGUGUCGCAGCUAACGCGUUAAGUUCUCCGCCUGGGGAGUACGCCGGCAACGGUAAAACUCAAAGGAAUUGACGGGGACCCGCACAAGCGGUGGAGCAUGUGGUUUAAUUCGAUGCAACGCGAAGAACCUUACCUGCCCUUGACAUCCUCAGAACUUGUUAGAGAUAACUUGGUGCCUUCGGGAAUUGAGUGACAGGUGCUGCAUGGCUGUCGUCAGCUCGUGUCGUGAGAUGUUGGGUUAUGUCCCGCAA
rnacentral:rRNA from 1 species